rnacentral:rRNA from 1 species
GACGAACGCUAGCGGCGUGCUUAACACAUGCAAGUCGAACGGAAAGGCCCUGCUUUUGUGGGGUGCUCGAGUGGCGAACGGGUGAGUAACACGUGAGUAACCUGCCCUUGACUUUGGGAUAACUUCAGGAAACUGGGGCUAAUACCGGAUAGGAGCUCCUGCUGCAUGGUGGGGGUUGGAAAGUUUCGGCGGUUGGGGAUGGACUCGCGGCUUAUCAGCUUGUUGGUGGGGUAGUGGCUUACCAAGGCUUUGACGGGUAGCCGGCCUGAGAGGGUGACCGGCCACAUUGGGACUGAGAUACGGCCCAGACUCCUACGGGAGGCAGCAGUGGGGAAUAUUGCACAAUGGGCGGAAGCCUGAUGCAGCAACGCCGCGUGCGGGAUGACGGCCUUCGGGUUGUAAACCGCUUUCGCCUGUGACGAAGCGUGAGUGACGGUAAUGGGUAAAGAAGCACCGGCUAACUACGUGCCAGCAGCCGCGGUGAUACGUAGGGUGCGAGCGUUGUCCGGAUUUAUUGGGCGUAAAGGGCUCGUAGGUGGUUGAUCGCGUCGGAAGUGUAAUCUUGGGGCUUAACCCUGAGCGUGCUUUCGAUACGGGUUGACUUGAGGAAGGUAGGGGAGAAUGGAAUUCCUGGUGGAGCGGUGGAAUGCGCAGAUAUCAGGAGGAACACCAGUGGCGAAGGCGGUUCUCUGGGCCUUUCCUGACGCUGAGGAGCGAAAGCGUGGGGAGCGAACAGGCUUAGAUACCCUGGUAGUCCACGCUGUAAACGGUGGGUACUAGGUGUGGGGUCCAUUCCACGGGUUCCGUGCCGUAGCUAACGCUUUAAGUACCCCGCCUGGGGAGUACGGCCGCAAGGCUAAAACUCAAAGGAAUUGACGGGGCCCCGCACAAGCGGCGGAGCAUGCGGAUUAAUUCGAUGCAACGCGUAGAACCUUACCUGGGUUUGACAUGGAUCGGGAGUGCUCAGAGAUGGGUGUGCCUCUUUUGGGGUCGGUUCACAGGUGGUGCAUGGCUGUCGUCAGCUCGUGUCGUGAGAUGUUGGGUUAAGUCCCGCAACGAGCGCAACCCUUGUUCACUGUUGCCAGCACGUUAUGGUGGGGACUCAGUGGAGACCGCCGGGGUCAACUCGGAGGAAGGUGGGGAUGACGUCAAGCCAUCAUGCCCCUUAUGUCCAGGGCUUCACGCAUGCUACAAUGGCUGGUACAGAGAGUGGCGAGCCUGUGAGGGUGAGCGAAUCUCGGAAAGCCGGUCUCAGUUCGGAUUGGGGUCUGCAACUCGACCUCAUGAAGUCGGAGUCGCUAGUAAUCGCAGAUCAGCAACGCUGCGGUGAAUACGUUCCCGGGGCU